GAUGAACGCUGGCGGCGUGCCUAAUACAUACAAGUCGAGCGAACAGACGAGGAGCUUGCUCCUCUGACGUUAGCGGCGGACGGGUGAGUAACACGUGGAUAACCUACCUAUAAGACUGGGAUAACUUCGGGAAACCGGAGCUAAUACCGGAUAAUAUAUUGAACCGCAUGGUUCAAUAGUGAAAGACGGUUUUGCUGUCACUUAUAGAUGGAUCCGCGCCGCAUUAGCUAGUUGGUAAGGUAACGGCUUACCAAGGCGACGAUGCGUAGCCGACCUGAGAGGGUGAUCGGCCACACUGGAACUGAGACACGGUCCAGACUCCUACGGGAGGCAGCAGUAGGGAAUCUUCCGCAAUGGGCGAAAGCCUGACGGAGCAACGCCGCGUGAGUGAUGAAGGUCUUCGGAUCGUAAAACUCUGUUAUUAGGGAAGAACAAAUGUGUAAGUAACUAUGCACGUCUUGACGGUACCUAAUCAGAAAGCCACGGCUAACUACG
rnacentral:rRNA from 1 species